CGUAUCUGCCUUAGAUCCUUUGUCAAGGUUUUGAUGUUUAUCAUCCUAAUCUACAGAGCUUAUGUUUUGCUUUUCGUUGACAAAGCUUGAGUCAUUCAGAUACAAGAUUACCUAUACCUCCAUCUCGGUCCAGUUUUAUGGCUUCUUGGCUGUCUGUACUCUGUAGAUUUUGCUUAUAUGGAUACUUG
rnacentral:snoRNA from 1 species